UGGCAAUGAACUACAAACAAUAUUUAAAUGACCAUAAAAAUGCAAAUUUCCUACAACCACUUACUAAAUACUGUCAAAGUAAAAUUACAGACAUGAAAUCCGCAAAACAAUUUAUUGUUGAUAUAAUUAAUGGAACUUCGCAUGUUAAUCUAAGUGGUCCAAUUGGUCCUACUUCUAGUCAGAAGCAUGACAUUCCCCCACCAAGGGGAACAAGAGGUUUUACUAGUUAUUAAUUUUACUAUUACAUCUCAACAAUGAUUUGAGUAACUAACAUUAUUUUAAAUAGUUUUAGUUGUUAAUAAAAAUAAAAAUUAUUUUGAAUCCUAUUUAAACUUGUGAAUAAAUUGAUUAUUCUGAAUAAAUAAAUAAAAUAAAUUGAGAAUAUUAUCCAAUUUUCGUGUAACAAAAUUUUGAUAAUGGAGAUUAAUACAAAAUAACAAAUUAAGAGAAAUUAAAUCCUCCACCCUCCCUUGGAUGCACAAUAUGUCACUCCUUCGCAGACAUCAAAUCAUCAUCGACAAACUACGAAUUGGCCACACAUUAUACACUGAUGAGCAUUUAAUGAACAAAAAGGAACAACGGAUAUGUACCUCAUGUAACACCGCGAUCACAAUUCACAGUAAAACAUCUUUUAACUGAAUGCCGACGCCAUACACAAACUGAUGCUCCCCAACAAUCUGUGUGAAAUACUUGCACCUAACGAAGAGAGAACAUCAUCACUAAUAGAAUUCCGCAAAGAGACCAACCUUCUGCAUAAAAUAUAAUAACAUUAGCAAAACUUAGAAUAACACACAUAUUGUAAACAUAUUUCUCUUAAAACUUAUUAUUGU